UGGGUUGUGGCUCAGUGGUAGAGCACUUGCCUAACACGUAUGAGGCACUGGGUUCAAUCCUCAGCACCACAU
rnacentral:tRNA from 1 species